rnacentral:rRNA from 1 species
UGAAUGGGCUAGGGGCCGAGAGGUUACUGAACCCUAUCAAACUUCAAAUGCCGGAAAAUGAUAGUCGGGAGUCAGACUGCGUGAGAUAAGUUUCGUAGUCGAAAGGGAAACAGCCCAGACCCACAGCUAAGGUCCCAAAGUACGGUUAAGUGGAAAAGGAUGUGGAGUUGCACAGACAACCAGGAUGUUGGCUUAGAAGCAGCCACUCAUUAAAAGAGUGCGUAAUAGCUCACUGGUCGAGUGACUCUGCGCCGAAAAUUUAACGGGGCUAAAUCGUACACCGAAGCUUGGGAAUAUCAGUUAUUCUUCAUGGACUUGCAAGGAAAGAGACCAUGGCACGAAGUGCCAUCAAAUUGUCCAUAAGGAUAAAGCGAGCUUGUGAAGAAUAACUGAUAUUGGUAGGAGAGCGUUGAAUGCGGGGUGAAGUCAGAGCGAAAGCGCUGGUGGACUGCAUUGAAGUGAGAAUGCCGGAAUGAGUAGCGAGAUUUAUGUGAGAAUCAUAAAGGCCGAAAGACUAAGGUUUCAGAAGGAAGGUUCGUCCGCUUCUGGUUAGCCGGGAGCUAAGGUGAGGCCGAAAGGCGUAGCCGAUGCACAUACGGUGGAGAUUCCGUAGCCGUCGAAAUAUUUAAGCAAAGGGACACUUAUGAAGGACAUGACCCGGGCGAUGGUAGCCCCGGGCGUAAGGGACUGAAAACAAGUAGGGAAGCAUGUUUGGAUUAAGGCGAGAAAAGCUUUGUGUAUAUAUCAGACGUCCGUACCGCAAACCGACACAGGUAGUCAGGAAGAGGAUUCUAAGGCCAACGGGAGAAGGGUAGUUAAGGAACUCGGCAAAUUGACCCCGUAACUUCGGGAUAAGGGGCGGUGCGUAAGCACCCGCAGUGAAUAGGUCCAGGCGACUGUUUAUCAAAAACACAGCUCUCUGCUAAAUCGAAAGAUGACGUAUAGGGGGUGACACCUGCCCGGUGCUGGAAGGUUAAGAGGAGGAGUGCAAGCUCCGAAUUGAAGCCCCAGUAAACGGCGGCCGUAACUAUAACGGUCCUAAGGUAGCGAAAUUCCUUGUCGGGUAAGUUCCGACCCGCACGAAUGGUGUAACGAUCUGGACGCUGUCUCAACUGCCCCCCCGGCGAAAUUGUAGUACCGGUGAAGAUGCCGGUUACCCGCGGCAAGACGGAAAGACCCCAUGGAGCUUUACUGUAACUUGAUAUUGGGUCUUGGUAUUCUAUGUACAGGAUAGGCGGGAGACUAUGAAACAUACACGCCAGUGUAUGCGGAGUCACCCUUGGGAUACCGCUCUUAGAGUACUGAGAUUCUAACCUGCGGCCGUGAAUCCGGUCGGGGGACAUUGUCAGGUGGGCAGUUUGACUGGGGCGGUCGCCUCCUAAAAGGUAACGGAGGCGCUCAAAGGUUAGCUCAGCACGGUCGGAAACCGUGCCUCUGAGUGCAAACGCAAAAGCUAGCCUAACUGCGAGGCUGACGGGCCGAGCAGUAACGAAAGUUG